CGUUAAGUAUCUCAGUCGGUAGAGCAUGAGACUCCUAAUCUCAGGGUUGUGGGGUUGAGCCCCACAUUGGGGG